UGGAGCAAACUUUGACCUUUGUGUCUGUUCACCGCAGCCUCAAUAUACGACCUUCGGCCAUCGCUCAGCAACCUGAAGUUUUCCUAGCGAAAUGUAAUGGAGAGACGACCAGCGCCACCACCUGUGUGAUCUUAAGUUUUCUGAGCCUCAGGUGCCUCAUCUCUUUAAGAUGGGGUUCAUUCAGAAAAUAAGAACUGCAUGUCUGUUUUGUGCCAAACACUGCAGGUGAGCUUUGGGAUACAGCAGUUAGUAAAACAGCGCGGUUCUGCCCUCUAAGAAGAUGCUCAGCCGCUGGUUACUGAGAACUGUUGCCGGGAGACAGCCUCUCAGAUAGCUCUGAGGAACUGCUCCAAAAAGGACCAGUAUCCAGAGCACAGAAUGCUUCCUGUUUUUCUCCAUCCUGAAUUCCCCGCGGGGCACACCCAGGAGAGGAGGUGUGUGUCUGGGGCUCGGGUGGCUGAUGAUGGCUUGAUCCUUGGGGGACACGGGUUCGAGCCCUGGUCUGGGAGGAUCCCACGUGCCGCGGAGCAACUGGGCCCGUGAGCCACGACUACUGAGCCUGCGCGUCUGGAGCCUGUGCCCCGCAACAAGAGAGGCCACGACAGUGAGAGGCCCGCGCACCGCGAUGAAGAGUGGCCCCCGCUCGCCACAACUAGAGAAAGCCCUCGCACAGAAACGAAGACCCAACACAGCCAAAAAUAAAUAAA